UACGUAGGGUGCAAGCGUUAAUCGGAAUUACUGGGCGUAAAGCGUGCGCAGGCGGCUUUGCAAGACAGAUGUGGAAUCCCCGGGCUCAACCUGGGAACUGCAUUUGUGACUGCAUGGCUGGAGUGCGGCAGAGGGGGAUGGAAUUCCGCGUGUAGCAGUGAAAUGCGUAGAUAUGCGGAGGAACACCGAUGGCGAAGGCAAUCCCCUGGGCCUGCACUGACGCUCAUGCACGAAAGCGUGGGGAGCAAACAGG
rnacentral:rRNA from 1 species